rnacentral:tRNA from 1 species
UUAGGGAUGAGUAAGUAGUAGUAAAGUAGGGUUAGGGAUGAGUAAGUAGUAGUAAA